UGGGGAAUUUUGGACAAUGGGGGCAACCCUGAUCCAGCCAUCCCGCGUGUGCGAUGAAGGCCUUCGGGUUGUAAAGCACUUUUGGCAGGGAAGAAACAGCCUGGGCUAAUAUCCCGGGCGACUGACGGUACCUGCAGAAUAAGCACCGGCUAACUACGUGCCAGCAGCCGCGGUAAUACGUAGGGUGCAAGCGUUAAUCGGAAUUACUGGGCGUAAAGCGUGCGCAGGCGGUUCGGAAAGAAAGGUGUGAAAUCCCAGGGCUUAACCUUGGAACUGCACCUUUAACUACCGGGCUAGAGUACGUCAGAGGGGGGUAGAAUUCCACGGGUUGCAGUGAAAUGCGUAGAGAUGUGGAGGAAUACCGAUGGCGAAGGCAGCCCCCUGGGAUGAUACUGACGCUCAUGCACGAAAGCGUGG
rnacentral:rRNA from 1 species